GAAAAGCAAGACCUGCAAGGAGCCUUUUUAAUCCAGAAAUUGCCUUCAUAAUUUUUUCAAUACUCAUUGUAUAUUUUGAUAAUCACAUGACCAUGAUCUUCAUUGGCAAGGUGACCACCAAGAUGACCGAAGCAGCCAGGCCAGCCAGUGACUAACACCACAGCAGCAUCCAUUCAUGAACACAAGCCAGAGGAUUGGCUUUUCAUGGCAGAGACCAUCUUCAGAUCCAAGAAAAUCAUGUCCUCAUCCUGCAAAGCAGACGCCAUCCUUGAGUUCCUGCUGGACAAAAUUUUCAAGUAGAUCGCAGAGUGGCUGGCUGAGCCACAGACCACCGUCACAUGUGAGACAUUGAAGGCACAACUAAGUUCGUCCUUCAGCAUGCCCCCAGCCCUCAAAAGUUAGGAAAUUCCUACACAACAUAGGAGCAGCGACAGGAGACAAGCCAGAGGAUCUUGACACUCCCAAGACUGCAGAAGGGAGAACAAACACGUUUAAAACCAAAAAAGAAGAGUACCAAAGGGCCUAUAUUUCUUCCAUUGGAGAGUUAGGAGCAAGGCCUAAAAAUGUAAGAACCAUUGCCUAGCAGGCAUUUAUAUAUAAAAAAAAAAUAAAAUGGGAAAAAAAAACUUGCAAGAGGUUUGUAGCAGCAGCCCAUACAACCACCACGAUGGGCAGAUCAGAUAAAUUGUAAAAAGAAACAAGUUUGCUAUUUGCUGUCUGACUUCCAUGUACAGGCAGCAACACUACUUGUGUUUUCACAGCCUGCCGACCCACACAAAUGCCUCAAUUGCACCCCCAAGCACUCUCCAGGUAUCCACUGCCAGCAACACUCCAAUUAAAAUUUAUGGAAGCCGAAUAGUGAACUUAUCGUACACCCGUCAAUUCAUCACAGCAGACGUUACAAUCGCAUUACUACUUGGAGUCAGACACCAGCUCACAUCACUCCAGUAGCAGCAAGAAAGAAUACGAUGGGACAGGAGAUCUGUCAACUUCUUCAGGAGUUCCCAAAAAUAUAUCAAAACACCAUCCUGCAUAACCUUACCAGCUCCACAAAGCAUAGCAUCAACUGUUGCAUCACUGUUGUUGCAUAUGCCAAACAAAUAAUCCAUCAUCACCGAAGGUCCACAUGUCCCUGCACACUGCAUGAUUGGCCCCAGACAAAGUGGCACACUCCAAACAAUUAAUCCAAAAAGCCUCCAGCCAUGGGCAUUCUCCUUCACAUAGUACCUCAAGCAGACAGUACAUGGGAGCCCUGCGGCAACUACAGACAGCUUGACGUUGAGACUGUACCAGACAUACCCCUUGCCUAUCAUCUGAGACAUAAUGAACCAGUUGGAGGAAGACAGAGUUUUCACGAAAAUCAUCCUUAAGAAAGGGUACUACCAAGUCCUGGUAGCAUAAAAAGACAGAUAAAACAGCCACCAUCACCCCUUCCAGGACAAGCACUUUCAACACUGACAGCUCAACGUCAAGAUGGUACCAGACAUAUCCCCUGCCUAUCAUCUGAGACAUAAUGAACCAGUUGGAGGACAUAAUGAACCAGUUGGAGGAAGCCAGAGUAAUCACAAAAAUCAACCUCCUGAAUGGCACUACCAAGUCCUGGUAACAAAAGAAGACAGAUGAAACAACCAUCAUCAACCUGCUUGGGACAUAAACACUUUCAACUACAGCUGUUGCGGCCUCCAAAACACAGGCGCCGCUUUCCAGUGAUUUGUGGACAAAAUCCUCAGAGAAUUACCUGCUGUGUUGUCUACGACAUUCUAAUUUCCAAUCCCAACUACAAAUGGCAUAUCAAGGAUGCCAGGAAAGUCCUCCCGAAACAAAGAGAAUACCAAGUAGUAGUCUGACAAGAUAAAUGGGAAUGGGCUCAAAGCACAAUAGAAUUUCUCUGUCAACAACAUCAUUUGUGCCGAACCUUGCUGAAAUAAUGGCAACUUUAUAUGAAUUCUUAAAAAGAAAAUCAAAAUCACUGACUUGGUCUGACAAACAAGAAAAGGCUUUCCAAUUACCCAAAAAUGCAUUUGGGAAGAUUACUGCAGAACAUUCUCCCAUAGGUCCCUAACCAAUGGUUGUUGUCCAAUGGCAUUCUUCAACAAAAAAUGUAUUGCCAGCAGAACAAAAAACCUCCAUAUUCACAGAGUUGCUAGCAGUCCACUGGGCCCUCAUACAUUUCCAGCACAUGAUUGAAGGAUGGUAGUCCUAGUGCAGACAGACCAUCAGACGACCUUGGUCUACGCUUUCACAAAAAAGGCAGACUGUCAGUUGGCACAUCAGCAGUACCACCUGUCUGCUAUAUCAGAAUUCUCCUGCAUGCUCAGAUACUGGAAUGUCUCCUCCAAUAAUGUCGCAGACACCCUUUCCAGAAACACUAUCAACACUGUCCAUAUCGUGAUAUCAUAUCCUGAGGUAGCAGCAGCUCAGAAGGAUGACAUGGACCUUCAGUGAUUCCCCACCCUCACAUGGAGGGAUUUUGCAAUAGAUGAAAACACGAGCAUCGCCUGCAUAACAAGUACCGGACGUCCUUGCUCCUAUUUACCAUUGGCACUGAGGAAAAAUGCUUCCAAUCUCACCCAUGACUCAUUGGGCGUAUCCUGUCGGAACAUCUGGCAGGCCAUUUACAAGGACAUCAAGUAAUGGGCUGGAGAAUGUCUUGACAAUCAUCAAUUGAAACCACCAGAUGGCUAGUGAUGAUACCCAUGAAGUAGCUGACUGCUGAAAAUUGUGCAAGAGCAUUAAUAAACGGAGUCAGUUGGCAUGGAGUCCUGCAAUAAAACACAAGCCCAUGACGAUCGACUGAAGCUAACAUUUUCAGAAGUUACAACUGUAAGUUUUAUAACUAGGUUCAUUUGUAAUUUAAACCUCUGAAAGCUUUAACUAAUUAAUUCUUUCCAUUACAUAUUGUGUUGUUUUCCAAGUCACCUGACUUCAAAAUUAUGUCUUCUUGCUCUGAUGUUAGAUGUUACUCCGUUGUUGGAAGUUUGUCUUGUCUGAAAUUUGUGAAUAAUACAAAUUAAAAAAGUAUCCAGA